rnacentral:misc_RNA from 1 species
GAUGAAGGAACGCAGCGAAAUGCGAUAAGUAAUGUGAAUUGCAGAAUUCAGUGAAUCAUCGAAUCUUUGAACGCACAUUGCGCCCAUUAGUAUUCUAGUGGGCAUGCCUGUUCGAGCGUCAUUUCAACCCUUAAGCCUAGCUUAGUAUUGGGAAUUGGCUUGUCAUGAGCCAUUCUUCAAAUUCAACGGCGGAUUUAUAGCAAUCUCUGAACGUAGUAAUCUUAUUCUCGUUUUUGCGAUACUAUAAACCUCAGCCGCUAAACCCCCAAUUUUUUUUUGGUUGACCUCGGAUCAGGUAGGAAUACCCGCUGAACUUAAGCAUAUCAAUAAGCGGAGGA